rnacentral:rRNA from 1 species
GAUGAACGCUAGCGGCAGGCCUAAUACAUGCAAGUCGAGCGGUAACAGGUCCUUCGGGAUGCUGACGAGUGGCGGACGGGUGCGUAACGCGUAUGCAACCUACCUUUCAAUGGGGGAUAGCCUGGAGAAAUUCAGAUUAACACCGCAUAAGACCACGCCAUCGCAUGAUGAAGUGGUUAAAUAUUUAUAGUUGAAAGAUGGGCAUGCGUGACAUUAGUUAGUUGGUGAGGUAAUGGCUCACCAAGACUUCGAUGUCUAGCUGGUCUGAGAGGAUGAUCAGCCACACUGGCACUGAGACACGGGCCAG